rnacentral:rRNA from 1 species
UUCCGGUUGAUCCCGCCGGAGGCUACCGCUAUUGGAGUUCGAUUAAGCCAUGCGAGUCGCGAGUCUUAGGGACUCGGCGUACCGCUCAGUAACACGUGGGUAACCUGCCCUAUGCUGGGGGAUAACCUCGGGAAACUGAGAAUAAUACCCCAUAGUUCACCACGCCUGGAACGGUGGGUGGAUGAAAGCUCCGGCGGCAUAGGAUGGGCCUGCGGCGUAUCAGGUUGUAGGGGGUGUAAUGUACCCUCUAGCCAUCUACGCGUACGGGUGUUGGGAGACAUCGCCCGGAGAUGGAUUCUGAGACACGAAUCCAGACCCUACGGGGUGCAGCAGGCGCGAAAACUUGGCAAUGCGAGAAAUCGUGACCAGGGAACUCCAAGUGCAUCGGGUAAGACCGAUGCUUUUCUUGACUCUUCAAAGGUCUUGGAAUAAGGGGUGGGUAAGGACGGUGCCAGCCGCCGCGGUAAUACCGGCGCCUCAAGUGGUAGUCGCUUUUAUUGGGCCUAAAACGUCCGUAGCCGGUUUGGUACAUUCGUGGGUAAAUCAAGGCGCUCAACGUCUUGAAUUCUGCGAGCACGGCCAGACUUGGGACCGGGUGAGGUGUGGGGUACUCUCAGGGUAGGGGUAAAAUCCUGUCAUCCUGAGAGGACCACCUGUUGCGAAGGCGCCACACUAGAACGGAUCCGACGGUCAGGGACGAAGCCUAGGGGCACGAACCGGAUUAGAUACCCGGGUAGUCCUAGGUGUAAACGCUGUGGACUUGAUGUUGGGAGUGCUCCGAGCACCCUCAGUGUCGAAGCGAAGGUGAUAAGUCCACUGCCUGGGGAGUACGGUCGCAAGGCUGAAACUUAAAGGAAUUGGCGGGGGAGCACUGCAACCUGAGGAUUGUGCGGUUUAAUUGGAUUCAACGCCGGGA